ACGGUUGGACAUCGUGAGGUUAGUGCAAUGGCAUAAGCCCGCUUGACUGCGAGAAUGACAAUUCGAGCAGGUGCGAAAGCAGGUCAUAGUGAUCCGGUGGUUCUGAAUGGAAGGGCCAUCGCUCAACGGAUAAAAGGUACUCCGGGGAUAACAGGCUGAUACCGCCCAAGAGUUCAUAUCGACGGCGGUGUUUGGCACCUCGAUGUCGGCUCAUCACAUCCUGGGGCUGAAGUCGGUCCCAAGGGUAUGGCUGUUCGCCAUUUAAAGUGGUACGCGAGCUGGGUUUAGAACGUCGUGAGACAGUUCGGUCCCUAUCUGCCGUGGGCGUUGGAAGAUUGAAGGGGGCUGCUCCUAGUACGAGAGGACCGGAGUGGACGAACCUCUGGUGUUCGGGUUGUGUCGCCAGACGCAUUGCCCGGUAGCUAAGUUCGGAAUCGAUAACCGCUGAAAGCAUCUAAGCGGGAAGCGAGCCCUGAGAUGAGUCUUCCCUGAUACUUUAAGUAUCCUAAAGGGUUGUCGGAGACUACGACGUUGAUAGGUCAGGUGUGUAAGUGCUGUGAGGCAUUGAGCUAACUGAUACUAAUUGCCCGUGAGGCUUAACCAUACAACACCCAAGGGGUUU
rnacentral:rRNA from 1 species